rnacentral:tRNA from 1 species
GGGGUCAUAGCUCAGUUGGUAGAGCGCUUCGUUCGCAAUGAAGAGGUCGUCGGUUCGAAUCCGAUUGGCUCCACCA